rnacentral:rRNA from 1 species
CCUACGGGAGGCUGCAGUCGAGAAUCUUCGGCAAUGGGCGAAAGCCUGACCGAGCGAUGCCGCGUGCGGGAUGAAGGCCCUCGGGUUGUAAACCGCUGUCAGUUGGGAGGAAGGCUCCGUGAAGAACGGAGCUUGACCUAUCUUCAGAGGAAGUCCGGGCUAAGUUCGUGCCAGCAGCCGCGGUAAUACGAACCGGACAAACGUUAUUCGGAAUUACUGGGCUUAAAGGGUGCGUAGGCGGCGCGGUAAGUGAGGUGUGAAAGCCCACGGCUCAACCGUGGAACUGCGCUUCAUACUGCCGUGCUUGAGGGAGACAGAGGUAAGCGGAACUGAUGGUGGAGCGGUGAAAUGCGUUGAUAUCAUCAGGAACACCGGUGGCGAAAGCGGCUUACUGGGUCUCUUCUGACGCUGAGGCACGAAAGCUAGGGUAGCGAACGGGA